rnacentral:lncRNA from 1 species
ACUAAAAAGUCAAUCCUGGUACUAUUCACUUUACCCUUUAUUUUGUCCUUAUUAUUAAAACUCAAAGUUUUCAAGCCCUUUUCAUUAGUUUUCCUUAAUAUAAAACCCAUGGCAAGGGUAUUAAAGGCUAAUUUGAAAUCCAAUUAAAACCCCACUAAACUCCUAAGCAUAAUGGACUUUAAAACCUUAUUAAAGAAAAUGAAAAAUAAACGAAAAUAAUAAAAACUAGAAAUUAAGUUCUUUCUUAAAGUCUAUUGAAUAGCAUUCCCAUGUCUAUUUGAUUCCAAAACCGCUCGGUUUCAUCUUCUUGUUCUAAUGCACAUGUCUUCGAGCAACUAGUUAGCCUCGUGCUUCAUUGAAAUUACUCUACACGCCCAAAAAGCUCAUUUUUCACAUCAUUUCUGCAUAACUUCAAAUAUUGAAUGCAAAUAAAUUAAAACAAUAUAAAUUAGUGCAUUUAACCCAUUCAUAUAUACAAAAUCCAAAGGAAGUAUAUGAUAAAAAUAUAUGAAAAUAUGCACACAUCAAUAAGAUUGAGGAGCAGAAAGUGUAGAGGAUUGGUCCGUCAUAUGAUGAGUGGCACCAGCAUCAAAAUAAUAAUUAGGAUCAGAUUGAUGAGCACACUAAACACCCGCAAGUAGCAGUGGUGUAAGAGGUCGCACUUGGUGCGAUGGCAAGUGCCUUCGCCCAUGAACGGUAGGUCUCGGGUUCGAGACUUGGGAGCAGCCUCUCCAUAAAUGGGGGUAAGGCUAGCCGACAUUCACCUCUCCCAGACCCUGCGUAAAGCGAGAGCCUUAUGCACUGGGUACGACAUUUUAAGUAGCAGUGGUGUGGUGCGACGUGUUAGGGCCGUGAGGGACGCGAGGCAGGAGGGGCCUGCUGUUGCGGAAAGAAGGGCAGGAAAUUGGUCCAUUGGGCAUGAGGCUGCAGAAGAGAAAGCUGCAGGGAAUGGUGCUGCUCAUGAGUACGAUUGAAAGAAGCCAUGACAAGAGUGUAGAAGAGACGAAAGAACAAAAGAGAGACCAAAGGAAUUUUACGUUUGACCGAGAAAGGGCAAACACCUAGGCCUACUAUGGUUUACGGCAGCUAACUUGCUUGCUUGUAUUAUUUUUAAUACUUGCUUGUAUUAUUUCUAUUUGCGUUACAUUGGAUGGAGAUAUUUGUUUUUUGAACAAUCGAUAUUAUCUACAUUAAAAGAAAAGGGGUGAGCUUAGUUUUACAAUGAACUAGCAAUAUUAUGGUUCAAAUUCACCUUUAGCGAUAAUCGAACCUAAGACCUCUCACUUACAAGUAUAGAAGAACAUUAUUAUGUUUAUGAACCCAAACAAAGGAAUUAGUGCAUGUUAAUUUAUAAAUUCUGACUUUUACCUAAAUUUCAAGUUUAUUUCCCUCAUUCAAGCAUAAUGUAAAAGUCUUGAACUAAUUACAAUAGAAAAUUACAUUUCUAUCAUACAUUCGAAAAUUAUUGAGAUAAUAACAGAAUAUCUCUAAUCUAACUUGUCAUAUUCUCAUUUUUAUGCAAAUAAAUAUUAAUUUUAUUGAUGGGAUGAAGUA